UCCCUGAUAGCUCAGUUGGUAAAGAAUCUGCCUACAAUGCAGGAGACCCUGGUUCGAUUCCUGGGUCGGGAA
rnacentral:tRNA from 1 species